ACGGCAUGAUGGGGACAUUUUCUGAUGAGAUCCUUUAAUCUUUCCCAUGAUUCAUGGAACUUGUAACGCCCGAUAUUUUCCUGGAUGUAAUAUUUCUAUUUAUGAUAUAAUCGUUAAACUUGAUUAAUGAGAAU
rnacentral:snoRNA from 1 species